rnacentral:rRNA from 1 species
GGGUUGUGAGGUUAAGCGACUAAGCGUACACGGUGGAUGCCCUGGCAGUCAGAGGCGAUGAAGGACGUGCUAAUCUGCGAAAAGCGUCGGUAAGGUGAUAUGAACCGUUAUAGCCGGCGAUGUCCGAAUGGGGAAACCCAGUGCAAUUCGUUGCACUAUCGUUAACUGAAUACAUAGGUUAACGAGGCGAACCGGGGGAACUGAAACAUCUAAGUACCCCGAGGAAAAGAAAUCAACCGAGAUUCCCCCAGUAGCGGCGAGCGAACGGGGAGCAGCCCAGAGUCUGAAUCAGCUUGUGUGUUAGUGGAACGGUCUGGAAAGUCCGACGGUACAGGGUGAUAGUCCCGUACACCAAAAUGCACAGGUUGUGAACUCGAAGAGUAGGGCGGGACACGUGGUAUCCUGUCUGAAUAUGGGGGGACCAUCCUCCAAGGCUAAAUACUCCUGACUGACCGAUAGUGAACCAGUACCGUGAGGGAAAGGCGAAAAGAACCCCGGCGAGGGGAGUGAAAAAGAACCUGAAACCGUGUACGUACAAGCAGUGGGAGCACCUUCGGGUGUGACUGCGUACCUUUUGUAUAAUGGGUCAGCGACUUAUAUUCUGUAGCAAGGUUAACCGUAUAGGGGAGCCGCAGGGAAACCGAGUCUUAACUGGGCGUUAAGUUGCAGGGUAUAGACCCGAAACCCGGUGAUCUAGCCAUGGGCAGGUUGAAGGUUGGGUAACACUAACUGGAGGACCGAACCGACUAAUGUUGAAAAAUUAGCGGAUGACUUGUGGCUGGGGGUGAAAGGCCAAUCAAACCGGGAGAUAGCUGGUUCUCCCCGAAAGCUAUUUAGGUAGCGCCUCGUGAAUUCAUCUUCGGGGGUAGAGCACUGUUUCGGCUAGGGGGUCAUCCCGACUUACCAACCCGAUGCAAACUACGAAUACCGAAGAAUGUUAUCACGGGAGACACACGGCGGGUGCUAACGUCCGUCGUGAAGAGGGAAACAACCCAGACCGCCAGCUAAGGUCCCAAAGUCAUGGUUAAGUGGGAAACGAUGUGGGAAGGCACAGACAGCCAGGAUGUUGGCUUAGAAGCAGCCAUCAUUUAAAGAAAGCGUAAUAGCUCACUGGUCGAGUCGGCCUGCGCGGAAGAUGUAACGGGGCUAAACCAUGCACCGAAGCUGCGGCAGCGACACUAUGUGUUGUUGGGUAGGGGAGCGUUCUGUAAGCCUGCGAAGGUGACCUGUGAGGGUUGCUGGAGGUAUCAGAAGUGCGAAUGCUGACAUAAGUAACGAUAAAGCGGGUGAAAAGCCCGCUCGCCGGAAGACCAAGGGUUCCUGUCCAACGUUAAUCGGGGCAGGGUGAGUCGACCCCUAAGGCGAGGCCGAAAGGCGUAGUCGAUGGGAAACAGGUUAAUAUUCCUGUACUUGGUGUUACUGCGAAGGGGGGACGGAGAAGGCUAUGUUAGCCGGGCGACGGUUGUCCCGGUUUAAGCAUGUAGGCUGGUUAUCCAGGCAAAUCCGGAUAAUCAAGGCUGAGGUGUGAUGACGAGGCACUACGGUGCUGAAGUAACAAAUGCCCUGCUUCCAGGAAAAGCCUCUAAGCAUCAGGUAACAUCAAAUCGUACCCCAAACCGACACAGGUGGUCAGGUAGAGAAUACCAAGGCGCUUGAGAGAACUCGGGUGAAGGAACUAGGCAAAAUGGUGCCGUAACUUCGGGAGAAGGCACGCUGGUGUGUAGGUGAAGUCCCUGCGGAUGGAGCUGAGACCAGUCGAAGAUACCAGCUGGCUGCAACUGUUUAUUAAAAACACAGCACUGUGCAAACACGAAAGUGGACGUAUACGGUGUGACGCCUGCCCGGUGCCGGAAGGUUAAUUGAUGGGGUUAUCCGUAAGGAGAAGCUCUUGAUCGAAGCCCCGGUAAACGGCGGCCGUAACUAUAACGGUCCUAAGGUAGCGAAAUUCCUUGUCGGGUAAGUUCCGACCUGCACGAAUGGCGUAAUGAUGGCCAGGCUGUCUCCACCCGAGACUCAGUGAAAUUGAACUCGCUGUGAAGAUGCAGUGUACCCGCGGCAAGACGGAAAGACCCCGUGAACCUUUACUAUAGCUUGACACUGAACAUUGAGCCUUGAUGUGUAGGAUAGGUGGGAGGCUUUGAAGCGUGGACGCCAGUCUGCGUGGAGCCAACCUUGAAAUACCACCCUUUAAUGUUUGAUGUUCUAACGUUGGCCCCUUACCGGGGUUGCGGACAGUGUCUGGUGGGUAGUUUGACUGGGGCGGUCUCCUCCCAAAGCGUAACGGAGGAGCACGAAGGUUAGCUAAUCCUGGUCGGACAUCAGGAGGUUAGUGCAAUGGCAUAAGCUAGCUUGACUGCGAGCGUGACGGCGCGAGCAGGUGCGAAAGCAGGUCAUAGUGAUCCGGUGGUUCUGAAUGGAAGGGCCAUCGCUCAACGGAUAAAAGGUACUCCGGGGAUAACAGGCUGAUACCGCCCAAGAGUUCAUAUCGACGGCGGUGUUUGGCACCUCGAUGUCGGCUCAUCACAUCCUGGGGCUGAAGUAGGUCCCAAGGGUAUGGCUGUUCGCCAUUUAAAGUGGUACGCGAGCUGGGUUUAGAACGUCGUGAGACAGUUCGGUCCCUAUCUGCCGUGGGCGCUGGAGAAUUGAGGGGGGCUGCUCCUAGUACGAGAGGACCGGAGUGGACGCAUCACUGGUGUUCGGGUUGUCAUGCCAAUGGCACUGCCCGGUAGCUAAAUGCGGAAGAGAUAAGUGCUGAAAGCAUCUAAGCACGAAACUUGCCCCGAGAUGAGUUCUCCCUGAGACUUUAAGUCUCCUGAAGGAACGUUAAAGACGAUGACGUUGAUAGGCCGGGUGUGUAAGCGCAGCGAUGCGUUGAGCUAACCGGUACUAAUGAACCGUGAGGCUUAACCUUACAACGCCGAAG